rnacentral:rRNA from 1 species
CAGCAGCCGCGGGAAUACGAGGGGGGCAAGCGUUGUUCGGAAUUAUUGGGCGUAAAGGGUGCGUAGGCGGUUUGGCAAGUUUGGUGUGAAAUCUUCGGGCUCAACUCGAAGUCUGCAUCGAAAACUGCCGGGCUUGAGUAUGGGAGAGGUGAGUGGAAUUUCCGGUGUAGCGGUGAAAUGCGUAGAUAUCGGAAGGAACACCUGUGGCGAAAGCGGCUCACUGGACCAUAACUGACGCUGAUGCACGAAAGCUAGGGGAGCAAACAGGAUUAGAUACCCGAGUAGUCCCUGUCUCUUAUAC